rnacentral:rRNA from 1 species
GGCCUUUUGAAUUUAAUUUAAGGUCUGACCUGCCCAGUGAUGUAUUUAACGGCCGCGGUAUAUUGACCGUGCAAAGGUAGCAUAAUCAUUAGUCUUUUAAUAGAGGGCUGGAAUGAACGGUUUAACGAGGAACUGACUGUCUCAUUUUAUUUGUUUUAAAAUUUAAUUUUUUAGUUAAAAAGCUAAAAUUUUAUUGGAAGACGAGAAGACCCUAUAGAUCUUUAUAUAAUUUUUUGUACCUAUUUAUAAAUAUGAGUAUAUUAAAAUUGUAUUUUGUUGGGGUGACAAAAAUAUAUAAUUAACUUUUUCAUUUAUUUGCCAUUGAUAUAUGAAUAUUAGAUCCAUUAUUAGUGAUUUCUAGAACAAGUUACCUUAGGGAUAACAGCGUAAUCCUCCUCCAGAGUUCAUAUUUACAGGGGGGCUUGCGACCUCGAUGUUGGAUUAAGAUAAUAAUUAGGUGUAGCUGCUUAAUUUAUAGGUCUGUUCGACCUUUAAAUUCUU